GUUAAAACAUAAAACAGAGUAAGAAAACGAGUUUCUUGAUCCUACUUCUGCCCAGAAAUGGGUACAAAACGAGACGACCCUUGUCCCCCGACAGAAGCUUGUUGCCGUCUGAGCUGAAAGUUUGUGGGUGAGAAAAUUUUCGUCAAGAAAAAAAAUUGAAAUGCGUCAUCUAAAAAUUUUGGUCCUCACCCUAACCUUUGUUUUAUCAAUGAGGGUAUCCUCCUUUCCGCUGGGUGGGCAGGACGCCGCUCCCACUGCGAUGACACGUGCUUCAAUGGGGACCAAUUUUUUAUUUCGUGACACAAACUAUGAAAAACUAAAUGAUAAUUUCCUGCUUAAGGCACAACUUCAAAAUCAAGGAUUAGUUGUAUUAAAAUCCGAAAAUGAAAACGGUGUAAUUCCAACUAAUCGGAAAUCCAGGCAGAUGCCCUUCAUCAUCUAUGGAGGAUGGUAAGUUUAAAUGUUCCUAACGUGAUUGUGGGUUUAUAAAUCUUGCAUUUUUUCCCGAUCGGUCAAACACCCAGACGAACUCUUAAAAAGUAAUGAACCCUUUGAAAAAAAAAUACUUAAGCUCAAAACCUUUAAAUACAUUCAGUACACCGUACGAAAACCAGUGUAAAUUUUCCUCUUUUCAUAAGCGAAGCCUUAAAUGUUUGCAAUAUUACGCCUCCUCCUCCUCGGUUUAUCUCCCUUUACUUCAUAUCGAGCGCAGAUAUGUAGUGGCAGAGAUGGAGAUCGAAAAACGCGUCUCACAAUGGAACCUUUUUUCAAGCUACAUCGGGAUUGACUAACGAGUUAUAUCAAAGAAUCAAGCCAAAAAUUAGAAAUCACAUGGCGCUUAUCGUUCCGUUGAAUGGCCCCUUUGAGCUAAGGACAACCACCACCCCAUCCAACAAGGCAAAAAAAGUGUUAAUUCCGACCGUGCUUAAGAAAAUUGACCUAUUGACCUCAAAAGGCAAUCCAUCGACCCAAAAGGAAAUUUCCCGUAAGGCUGGGGUGUCUAAGCAUUGAGUGAAAAGAGAAAUUAAGAUUUUUGAAAAACGACUUCGUCGGAAAACUCGUGUGCAUCAGCUGACUGAAAAACAGGAAAAAAAUCGUGCCCGUCUUUGCAAAAAAAUUUAUUCAAAUUUUCUGUUAGGGAAUAAGAGUUUGUUUUUAGUGACAUUUGACGAAGCACUAUUUUCCCCACAAAUUACUAAUUAGGUUCGAAGAGCUUACUACACGACAAAUGCCGAAAACAAUUCACUCAAGUUGGUGCUUCCCCGUGAGAAGAACUUUUAUAAACAGUUUAUGGCUGGGGGUGCAAUGUCGGGUCGUGGUGUCCUCCCACUUAUCAAAGUCCCCCAAAAAGUGAAGGUAUCUGCAAAGUAUGAUGUGGACCGUGUAUCGAAACCGCUUUUAGAGUAACAUUUUCCUAAAUAGCACGGUAAAUAAAUAAAUAAGGUGAUUAUUCAUCGGGACGCAGCGUCUUCCCAGACGACAAAGUUAACCCAAGGUUAUGCAAAAGACCUUGAACCUAGAUUGGGGAUAAAAAUCAUUUCGAAUAGUAAAAUACCUGUACAGUCCCCUGAUGUAAGUCAAAUGGGCAUUUUUGAGUUCGGAUACUUAAAAAGAAAAUCUUUUCUGUGGAGACUGGAUUUUUUAGACGGAGUUUGAAAAGAAUUGAAAUGACUGCCUCACCUUCUGGGGGCUGUGGGGGAGGCAUUUUUGAAAGUAGAGAGUUGAAAUUUUGCACACAACUACCUGAGGAUAACAUGAUCCUCUGUUCAAAAUUUUGACCCGCUACGACAAACCGUUCCGGGGUUAUUCAAGGCCAAAAUCGUUAUAUUUUAAGCGCCUGACCCUACUGUAUAACAAAUUUAAAUACAUCUUCAGAACCAUGGGAUUUGUAAUACUGAGUUAAUUUUUAAUAUAAUUUAAAAUAUGUUAUAAAUAUGUAUUCGUUUGGAUGACAAAUUUAAAAUUGAUGAGAAAUAUAAUUAAAAUUGGGAAUCAUUCUGAGUGCUGUAUUAUUUACGUAAAUUAUAGCGCUUAAAGUUAAGCUGGAGGGUCUGAAUGUUGUAACUGUCAUGUCAUAAAUGUCAUAUUUGUCGGACAUUUAUAAAUAAUGUCAGACAUUUAAGACAACUAUGACAUGACAAAUAUGAGUUGACACGACGUUUACUUCUUGACAUCGAAAUUGUAGAAAUCUGAGUUCGACCUGGUUCAUCAAUCAGAAGAAGCAGGAUGAUCUUUGUUUCUUGAACUUCUUAACCAUACACUCUUAAUUCUUUUAAGUAAACUAUACUAAAUAAGUCCAUAGUAAGGUGAGCUUUAUAUAGAGUAAAAUUUACUCUGGAUUUAGUAUAUAUGUCAUUCAUAUAUAUUGCACCGUGUUCGUAAAGGUCUAACUUCAAUUUGUGCAAUUGCGCUACUCUCACAAUAAAGGUACAAAGGAAAGGCAGAACUUCUGCGUAAGCUGCAAGGCAACCUUUUAUUUAUUACCCACUUCAAAAACCCACCAAAAAUCCAAUUUUACACGGAUUUUCAUAAAAUUCCCAUUUUUGUGAUCCCAGAUACUUAUGGUAUAACAUCCGAUAACAAUCUUAAUUUUUUUGAAAUAUUCGAAAUUUUUGGAGACUCCACUGCGUAUGAAAUAUUCGAAAAAAUUCAAAUAAAAAAGAACUGAGAUAUUUAUGUAUCUACUGCGUAUGAUCACAUAAAAAUAAUAUUGUCACACAACAAACGAACGCCCCUUUCUAAUAUCCCGAUUGACGGAAGGGGCCUAUUUUCGAAAUUCGUGUAUAUUUUGACCUCAAUAAUGAAGUAUAUCCACCAAGUUUCAAGUAAAUACGUCAAGUUUUACAGCCAGUCCUAUGAGACAGGGUACAGACGGAAAUUACGGAUACAGAAAUUCCGAAAAUAUUUGAUACAAUUUUACUCCUGGGAUUUGGUGGUCCUGGGAUUUGAUGGUGUUCACUUUGCAGAAAUUCCGUCAUCCCGUUGAAUAAUUGACGUAUGAGGUUGGAGUGGAGCAUUUAAUCCACAAAGCAAAUUGAUCAACUUGUCAGUUAUAUGACUCAAGUGCGGCUUGCAAAAUUCCAUAGUUCAGCGUAAACAGAUAAGGGGCCGUACAUAAAGCAUGUAGUCGAUCUUCAGAAAUUUGACACGGCCCCCUUCUGCGACCCAUGUAGUCAUAGUUAGCAAGGUAGGCAUAUGAUACCUUGACCCAUGAGUUGGAUAACAUCCUUUUUGGAUAGUCCUUUAUGAAGUCUAGAUUACCUAAUUGCCCAAUCAUUGAGGUGGAGUAUAUGUAGUUAUAAUCAGCCGAGAAAUUGGAGCCGUUUGAUUUUCGAGCCGUAUAUAACCCCACACUUUUCCAUGAAGAGCAUUCAGACGCUGAAAUUCAGGCCACACCAAAGCUUAAUCCUGCAACAAACUUAAAACUCCACUCGUGGAUUGGAUUGGAUUACAGGGCAGUCACUUCUUUGUAAAUGUCUGUUACGUAACCCAAUAUUCUGCAAUCAAAAUGAACAUUUUGCUUCUCGGAGAGACUGGCGCAGGCAAGUCAACAUUUAUAAAUGGACUCGCCACCUACUUCACAUAUCCGACGAUUGAUGACGCAAAGAAAAAUCCAUUCAAUCCAAUCAUCCCAAUCAAAUUCGAAGUAGCCGGAAACACUGUUGAGGUUGGUCUGGACAAAAAUGAAAGCGGUGAAACUGGUAAAUCAUGCACACAGCAGCCACGAACUUAUGUGAUGGGGUGGAACGGUUUGGCAAUUCGUAUCCUGGACACCCCCGGCAUUGGGGACACCCGUGGCGUCGAACAGGAUCAAACCAAUUUUACCAUGAUAUUAGAGCAUAUCAAGGGUUAUAACUAUAUCCAUGGCAUUUGCGUUUUUAUAAACAGCUGUCAAUCCCGGCUAACGCCAUUCUUUCGUAGCUGCAUUAAGCAAUUACUCGCUCAUUUGCAUCAAGACGCGAUUAAUAAUAUUGUAUUUGUGGUUACACAUGGCGCACCAUCAUUUGAUCCAGCCGUGUCAAUUGGAACAUUGAAGAGCAUUUUGAUGCAGGAUCUGGCAGAUGUUAGCAUCGACAUAAAUGAGAAAACUGUGUACUGCGUGGAUAACGAUGCUGUCAAGUAUUUGGCGCAGAAAGCUGCAAAUAUUCCAUUUGCAAAAGAAGCUAAAGCUGCCAAUUCAGCUGCAGACAGUUGGGAGGAAACAUAUGAACAAAUCAACCGAUUGUUCUCAGUGUUUCAAAUGAUGACACCGCACGAUACUACAAAAACGUAUAGUUUGAAUCAGACUAGGGAAAUAUGCCUGGCAUUAGGUGGUCCGUUAGCUGAUUGUACAAAACGGGUUUUAGAAGCACAAGCGAAUAUAUUGCAGAAGAAAGAUGAGGUUUUAAAAGAUUUGCAGGAUGGCUUAGACUUGCAAGCAGCACAGACCACAUCUACAACACUGUAUAGUAACGUAACUGACAACGAGAAUACGUGGAACGCUUGCCUCUCUGGGAUAUGCAGUAUAACCGUACACGACCGCGGGAUACAAAUUUUCAUACCCAGAUACUGUUCAUCUACAAAACGAAGUUUUAUAGAUGAGCUUACUCCAUCAUCAGUUUUCGAAAUUGAUGCAAGUCCAUAUGCUAUUGCAGCAUAUAUGGCUAGGACACUUGUACAAUUUGUGGUUGUUAUAUGUGGUACCAUUUGGUAACAUACGAGAAAGUUGUAGAAGAGAGUAUCAGCAUUAUUAACCCACAUGUGCAAAAAUUAGUGGCGGAAAAAGCAUCAAAGGCCGAGAUAAAAAAAGAGAUAAUUAAGGAGGUGGAGAGUGGAGUGAGAGGGCUUGAGAAUGAGGUUCAGAUUAUGCGAAAACUGCAAUUAACAGCAAGUCAAUUUUUGAAUCAAAAUUCCCUGGUUCAUACAGCUGAUGCAUAUUUGGACAGAUUAUAACAACUUCAGGACGAGGAAAAGUCCAAAAAUCCUACUUGUGAUAGUCCAAGGUUUGAAAAACUAGAGAAUCUUGUUCAGGAAUAUAAAAAACAAAAGGAAACUCUGGCGGCGAAUUACAGCAAUGCAGAUAAGAAAACAAUUUCUUUGGAGGAAAUUAAAUCCUCACUAGCUGAACUAUAUGAACUUCCAUAUCAUGGAAAGAUUAUUAAGAAAGCGGUAGAGGAGAAGAUGGUGAGCAAUGUAAACGCUCUGGAGGAAAUUUUCCAUUCCCCCAGCCUAAAACGAUAUGGAUUACCUGACAAACGAAUAACAAGUCUCAUAGAUUUGUUCAAGCAGGUGGAUGUGUCAAAGAACUUGGCCACAAAAUUUCUGAAAUGAGUUUAGCCGUUGAUGGUUCACCCAAUGAAAUAGGACACGUUUAUGAAAUAAGAAAUAAAUAUAUAUGCUAAAUAAUAAGAGCGUUAACGUACUUUAAGUAGGCAUGCUCAAUUACGCUUACAUAUUUCUCUUGGAUAAGAUUUUCAUCCCUGAUUUCUGAGUUAUGCGGACCUGCAUAGUAACGUAAGUUGACGUACAUAUUUACUUGAAGUCACGGCUUAUGGAACCACCUUAUCCGUCCGUCCAACUGUGAACAUGAUGUUCACCGUUUUGUUAAUUUUUAUUUACUUUAUUUCUGUUUACUCUUGGAAGAAAAUGUCAACAUACUAACCUCGCUUCUUGCAAAUUUAAAAAUUAUCGACUUGUAUGUGAAAUUAAAUCUUCACCUAAAAAACCCACAUAUAUGAACAGGUUUCAAAAUCGCCAUUCGAGUACAUGGAAAAUGGAAACUUGAGACACAAGAAUUCAACUUCAAAACACACAUGCAAUGGAACGUUUAAGAGAAUACAACUUCAACAGUUCAAUACUUCGACAACACGAGGACUCUAAUUUUCUUAAAUUUUCAAACCGCAGGGUUUAUUGUUUACACAAUCACUGAUUUUAACCUAUUUUAGUUUGCGUGACGUAACGCAGGACUUUGACCCCCCCUCCCCUCUCGUCACAUCUUGUAACGCAACUCUCAGACCCCUCCCCCCCCCCGUCCGGCGUUACAUAAUUUAUGAACGGUCCCAUUGAGUCAAAACAGAAACUAUUAUGAGUAGCUUGACAUUUUUGCAAUAAUUAGUAUAGUACAAAGUUAGGGAAGUAAUGUCCACGUAUUACGGAGUCAAAGAAUCCCCGAUUUUUAGACCUCCCACCCACCAACCCAUUCCAUAUCAUACUCAUGUUAAGCUUAACACAUACAUACACAAAAUAAACUACAUAAAAUGUACACACAAUUUUGAAACUUCUAGAUUUAAAACAAAGCAGGUCUUGGUAACCAAGAUGACGGGUUUUUAAAUAAAUACUUAAUCGAAUCUCUAUCAAGUGCCAAAUUACAUGCACACACAACAUAUGUACAUAAAUACUUACAUAAAUAAAUACAUGAGAGGUAACAUAAGUCCGACCAAUUCGUAGAAAAAAUGAUUUAUAAGCGGAGGUUUUUUUAUUUCUGACUCGGGCUAUAUGAAGUAAAUGGGUUUGGUAGCUUUAAUUUAUUUGCUUUAUUUUAUUUAUUUGGGUACUAUAGUUGCCAGUCGAACUUCGGGCAAUAUGGGGAAGAUCGAUGGGGCGUCAAUAUUUUCGGACUGACUUCCUCAGAGAAGGAAUGGAUGAAAACUGCCCGUCCUGAACUCGUAGUGCGUGGACGAGGAGCCUCAACGUAUUUGCACGUGGGAAAAGAUGGCUCUGGAGCUGAUUGUUGGAACGAAUGUUGGGAAAGUGUUACCGCCUCGAAGAGCACAAAUCGUGACGGCGUUCUAUCUGUGGCUCUAGUGUAUGUGCACUACUUGGAGGAAAGUGGCUACCAGGUAACCAAGUCGAAUAUUGACGUUAUGGCGACGGACACGAGGUGGACAUUUAAUUUGCAGAAAUAAUUUAAAUAAUCUGCCACGGUUACAUGUUCGUAUCUUUGCAUUCUAAAAGUAAUAGUUCCCUACCUUUACACUAAGGAUGCAUAAUAAUACUAUUAUUUUACAAAUAUAUUAUUUAUGUUUGUUAAAAGCAUUUAAUCAUUGCGAAUUAUUUGAAAGAUAUGUACAUACAUACCUAUUUAUUACACGUAUACAUAUAUUACUUAAUCCAAUAAAAAAUAUCAAAUACAUAUAUAAGUACUUCGCCAUUCGCCAGAUUUCAAGAUCCAACUUUUUGCUUAAAAUGAUGCUUACAAUGUGUAUUGAUUAAAAUAAAAAAAAGUGACUGUUAAAGUUACCUAUAUUGGUUACGACAGGUGAACGGAAAAACAAGUUUAUUUGAGGUUAAAAAAUUUCAUGUAUACAAUUUGCACAAUUUUUUCAUUUUUCUUACAAGUCUUCCAUUGCUAUUAGGAUAAACAACAUCCGUUUGUUCAUACUUCUAAAGCUAGAAUGUUUAUUUUAAUGACAUUUAAUUUGACCAAUUGCUAGAGA